AUUUGAUUGAUUCUUAUAUCAUUGUCAUCAUCCUCAUGCUUAUAUUGUGUUGAAAGUCAUCUUUGGUCGUAGUGCAUAGAUGGACUUGGUAUGAUUAUGACCAGAGAUUAUUCGGUAUAAUCAUGACCGUAAUGUUACAAAUGAUGUGAAAAAAGUCCUCAUUGGCCCGUAGUGCAUUGAUGGACAGUUUUUGGUAUGAUUAUG
rnacentral:lncRNA from 1 species